rnacentral:lncRNA from 1 species
AUGAGUCCAAGGAGAAAGGUAAGAAGGUGCUUUAUUCCAUAACACAAAUUGUGUGUUCAAGUUUUCGAACUCGUUUUAGGAUUAGUUGCCAACAAGAAAGUGCAUCAAAAACCAUCUUAGGAACAAGAUGUUAUUAUAUAGUGUAUCCAUGUAAAAAUAAACACAGCACUUGGUAGAUUUCAGAGAGUAUUAUCAGGCAUCACCAGCUCUCAAACCUUCAGCCAAAGCACGUGCUCUGUUCUGGGUUUGUCUUUCUACAGCAACCACCUACAAUAAAUUCAUAAGAAAAAAGCUUUAAAGAAAACGGAUCGAAAGGUCCAAGAAGAUACAUUACCAACUGCACUUCCGAGUGCACAGCCCCAGAGAAUCCUCAUUGACCACUUAUCCCUCUCGACACCAUCAUACUUUGCUCUGCAAUAAACCCCCUUCAAAGCUAUAGUUUACCAGCAAAAAGACUCAAACUAAAAUUCAAAAAAAUUACUCGAAAUGUAGAUCUAUAAACUAUUUGGGGAAAAAGUAGAUGAGAACAACAAUAGGAGUGUGAGAUUAC